rnacentral:rRNA from 1 species
UACGUAGGGGGCAAGCGUUGUCCGGAUUCACUGGGCGUAAAGCGCGUGUAGGCGGCCCUGCAAGUCGGGUGUGAAAUCCCACGGCUCAACCGUGGAAGUGCACUCGAAACUGCAGGGCUAGAGUCCUGGAGAGGAAGGUGGAAUGCUUGGUGUAGAGGUGAAAUUCGUAGAUAUCAAGCGGAACACCGGUGGCGAAGGCGGCCUUCUGGACAGUGACUGACGCUGAGACGCGAAAGCGUGGGGAGCAAACAGG